UCCUUCAAAGCCUUUGGAAGCUGCCGUG
rnacentral:piRNA from 1 species